rnacentral:misc_RNA from 1 species
UUCGACAUACAUAUGCUCUAAGAUUGUAUUAUAAUUUCGAAAAUUCGAUGUGUUUACAGGAGAUUCAUUCAUGUCGCAUUACCUUGGUACUUAGAACACAUAUUGAAUGCUUAGGCUUUGGUAUGUAAUAAUACAGAAUUGUGAAUUUAUAGCGAGUGUACUAGAGUUAUGUAACGUCUCGUAACACUGGUGCGAAGUGGGGCUCCUCAGAUUUCGAUAUUUUCGAAAUAGAAUUUUCGUUAAUUAUUGUGCUGAAUUACACGUAGGCACUCACUUUUCCUUUAAGAGUUCAAUGCCAGAUGGCGAAACGUCGUUGCUUGUCACCAAAACUCGGUAUUUAUUCGGCCCACUCAUCUUGUUAUUUCAGGUUAAUUACUGCAACUUUGUGCUCGAAACUACCGUUACUUAUCGAAUGUAGAGAAGUAUUUUGCCGAACCUAACUGAUCUAAAAUGUCGACGAUGUUUAGAAGUGGGUACGCAUCGCCGAUUGUUUUCUCGUUAAGCUUACGAAAAUCUAUU